rnacentral:rRNA from 1 species
CAGCAGCCGCGGGAAAACAGAGGGUGCGAGCGUUAAUCGGAUUUACUGGGCGUAAAGCGUGCGUAGGCGGCUUCUUAAGUCGGAUGUGAAAUCCCUGAGCUUAACUUAGGAAUUGCAUUCGAUACUGGGAAGCUAGAGUAUGGGAGAGGAUGGUAGAAUUCCAGGUGUAGCGGUGAAAUGCGUAGAGAUCUGGAGGAAUACCGAUGGCGAAGGCAGCCAUCUGGCCUAAUACUGACGCUGAGGUACGAAAGCAUGGGGAGCAAACAGGAUUAGAUACCCGCGUAGUCCCUGUCUCUUAUAC